rnacentral:rRNA from 1 species
GCUUACGGCCAUAUCACGUUGAAAGCACCGGUUCUCAUCCGAUCACUGAAAUUAAGCAACAUCGAGCCUAGUUAGUACUUAGAUAGGUGACCGCUUGGGAAACCUAGGUGCUGUAAGCA